UAUAGAAGCCUAAUUAGCCACCAAGUCUUGGAAUACCUGGCAAGUAUCAAAUCCAUUGUAAUAUAAUUUGUUGAUAUAUAGCAUAGGAGGAUGUAUAAAAGGUUCAAUCAUCACCACCUAAAGCUAUAUAUUGUCAAGAUAGCACAUCCAUUGACAUGAAAAACUAACAAACUAUAUUAAAAAGACUUAAAGAAGAAAAAGAACAAAAGAACCUAAGGAUCAACGGCGAACGUUUCUUACGUUAAUACAGGAAUAUCAUGAAAAGAAUAAAGGAAGCAAAUAUUAAGGAUAGCUCUCCGUGAUCAUGAAGAGGAUCUUUAAAAUAAUGCCUCUAGUGACAUUCCCGUCUACAACACAACAUUGCCAAUAUUUUGCUUUAGCCAGUGAUGUUAAGAUCGAUGCAUCUUUAGUCACCAUUUGAAGGAUCAACAUGUACAAAGAAACUCGCUGCCACUAUGAGAUAGCAGAGAAUGAGCAUUAAUCCUUUAAAAUAGUUUGAUGUCCCUUCCUGCAACAUGAAUGCCACAACUAGCACAGUGACAAAGAGGGUUGCUGUUUCAAAGAGUUGAAAAUUCAAGUCCAUAGGUUGUCCCAUUAGCCACCCAACGACCACACAAAAGGGGAUCACAAACAUUGAUAUCUGUGUGCAAGAUCCAAUUGCAACUCCAAGUGAAAGAUCGAGCUUGUCCUUCAUGGCAAACAUUAUUGCACUUGCAUGCUCAGCAGCAUUUCCCACAAUUGGAAGCAGGAUGACGCUAAUAAAAGCCACAGGCAUGUUCAACGUGUCAGAUGCUCCCUGGAUGGCAUCAACAAGGUAUGCAGAUAACACAGAAAUCCAUGAAGUUAAAAUCGCAAGCCAACCAACUGCUUCCCAAUAAGUUAUUUCAGGUGCCUCUUCUUCAUCAGAAAAUUGUUGUUCAUCAUCCCUUCCCUGCAGCUCAUCAACGGGACGAUAGAGAUUAUGUUGACUUUUGAGUUGAAAGAAAAGGUAGCUUCCAUAUGCCACUAGCAUUAUACAGCUACUAAAUCUUGAAAGAGACAACUCUGACUUGCCAAAAUGAAUUUCUGUGUGUGUGAAAUGAAGCACAGCUGGAAACAUUAUCCCCAUUACAGCCAUCAAAAGCAAUCCAGAAUUCACUAGAGCAGCCGCCUUAUUAAAUUUCUGAACCCGCUUGUGAUUAGCAAUCCCACCACUGAAGAAAGAACAUCCAAGCACCAAAAGCAUAUUUGACAAGAUAGAACCUAACAAAGAUUGUUGAACAACUCUUAUCAUCCCACUCUUCAAUGCAUAAAUUGAUAUUAUCAUUUCAGUUGCAUUUCCAAAUGUGGCAUUUAGAAGACCACCAACUGUAGGUCCAGUGUAGAAUGCAAGCUGCUCAGUUGUGUAACCUAGACGUUCUGCCAAAGGUAUGAUGCCCAGUAAGCUUAGGAAGAAGACCCAUUCAUGAUUUCUAGUAAAAUAAUGUAGAAAAAUUGCUGAGGGACCAAACACUAGCAGCAAGUUAAUCUUUGCUUUAAUUAAGACGAUAUAAAUACUCCUAAGAGGGCUCAUUAGUAUUCGCUUCAAAGCCCGUGAAUUGACCACAUCAGCAUGAGAGCCCACAAUGGUUGUCUCAAAAUCAAAAGAAUGUACUUUGCUCCUCACAGGUGAUAACACGAAAGAGAUGUCCUCAUCAGAUUCAAGGUCUAACUUCUCCUCUAUGGGCCCCAUCUGGGUCAAUUUCUAUGGAGAUGUAGCAUCACUGAAUAUGCUGGAGAUUCUAGCAGAAUAUCUCCCAAACUUGUGAUACUACAAUCAAAUAUCUGAUGAAGGAGAAACUAUGGAUCUACAGGAGAUUUGAAGGGGAAUCCUUUAAGAGAGAGAGAGAGAGAGA
rnacentral:misc_RNA from 1 species